AACAAGUGAUGCAUCGUAGCGGCGAGUGAGCGGCAGAGCUCAGAUUUGAAAUCUCACCUAGUGUGCGAGUUGUAAAUUGCAGGUUGGAGUCUCGGGUUAGACGUGUGUGCAAGUCCCUUGGAACAGGGUGCCACUGAGGGUGAGAGCCCCGUAGCGUGCAUGUCGACACCUGUGAGGCCCUUCUGACGAGUCGAGUUGUUUGGGAAUGCAGCUCUAAGUGGGUGGUAAAUUCCAUCUAAGGCUAAAUAUUGGCGAGAGACCGAUAGCGAACAAGUACUGUGAAGGAAAGAUGAAAAGCACUUUGAAAAGAGAGUGAAACAGCACGUGAAAUUGUUGAAAGGGAAGGGUAUUGGGCUCGACAUGGGAUUUACGCAUCGUUGCCUCUCGUGGGCGGCGCUCUGGGUUUUUCCUGGGCCAGCAUCGGUUUUCGUUGCAGGAUAAGGACAAUUGGAAUGUGGCUCCUCGGAGUGUUAUAGCCUUUUGUAGAUGCUGCGUAUGGGGACCGAGGGCUGCGGCGGACUCGUUUCGUCUCGGAUGCUGGCACAACGGCGCAAUACCGCCCGUCUUGAAACACGGACCCA
rnacentral:rRNA from 1 species